rnacentral:lncRNA from 1 species
GCCAGAUCAGAGGCAGUAGGGAUAACCAGGGAUGUUCUCUUGAUAACAGGCACUAUCUGUAACGAUCGUCUGGAAGAGGGGACCAAGAUGCAGCGUGUGAACUGCCCUGAAUAAAAUCUGGGGUUCAAGCUGCAGGCCACCGAGUAUUUAUUAAGCCACAUCUGGGAUUGUCAUCACUGCUGCAUCGGCCCGGCGGAGAGAGAGAGGGAGAGGGAAUCGGAAAAGGAUGUGUGCUGAAGGCUAGGAGAAGGAGUGGAGUUGGGGGACUUAAAGACGGAUCCUGUCUAGUUACACAGCCAGCCUCGGUCCUUGGAGUUGGCCCAAGUCUGGAAGCAUGUCUCUUUUCCACCUUCCUUUCAUGUCAUUCCAAGCUGCAGAAAAAGGAGCAGGGUACGCAAACAUGCUGGAAGGGGAUCAUAGUCCAAACCUCUUUAUUUAUAUGUGGUGGGUAGAAUGGCAGACCUUUCCAGUUGUUAACAUUGCUUUUAGAUUUUUUUAUGCUACAAAGAACUAGUGAUUGUAAUUUCCCAAAGAAGAGCACCAAAGAGCAAGAUCAUGAAGUAAGAGAGUGAAGGAAAGUUAUGCCGUUACACAACCAUAUUACACCACUGGAGUGAAAAAUAUAGAAACAAUGGAAAGGAAUUAUGGUCCUUGUUUAAAAUAUUUGUCAGUUCCACAGAAGACAUCUGCAACAGCCAUUUCCUAGUACUGUAUUACUGCAAUCAGGAGUCAUUCAGAUGGAGAUAUACUCUAGAAGCCAUGCUAACAGAGCUUCACCACACUCCAAUAUCAUUUUGACCCGAAGCCUGAGCGAAUCCCCUCCUGUAUCUCAAACGGGACAGAUAUGCUAGCUUCCCAAACACAAGCAGGAAGGUGUGGCCCUGGCUGUUCCGAAC